rnacentral:lncRNA from 1 species
ACCAUGCUACAGUUCAUGUAGUUUACGUACCGGUUCGCUCGCGGGAAAAAGAAAAAUAGGCCCGUCCGAGUUCCCAUCUUCGUCUUCCUCGUGCCAUAGCCGACCACGCCGUCGCUCGCUUGCCGGGGCUGCUCCUCCUCCACCGCCCGUCGGUGCCGCGCCGGCGCCUGUGUCCGCCGCGCCCAGGGCCGCGUCGUCGCACCUUCGCCGGGGCCGCGUUGUUGCCGCUCGUCGGACGGGGCCUCGCGCACCCCCGCUGCCCGCUGGAGGCACGGCGCGGGGAGGUCGACGCCAGGGCAGCAGCGAGGCCGCACCGCGUGCAGUGCUGCUCGCCGAGUCCGCGGGGCCGCGCCACGCGCGCCUCACGCCGCUCGAUGUACGUAGUCUCUUAACGCUUGCGUCUCCGCCGCCGCUCCCCGGGGCACCGUCGCGCCUCCGCUGCUGGACUCGUCAGGGGUGUGAUACUGAGUACGUCCACUUAGCUAGCUAGCUAUAUGCUCAAGAAUCAUUAGCGUCUUCUGAUGCCUGUCGCACGACGUUAAUUAGCACUAGUAGAGUCUUCUGAAACCACUAGUUAAUUAGUACUAGUACCACCAUACUAGUAGAGAGUCUUCUGAUGCCUGUCGAGUUUUAUCUACGUUGGAGCUAGCAUUAUGUAUUGUGUGUGAUUGAUUUGCUGCGUGCCAGGCUCCUGCCGCUCGGAGGAAGAGCAACGGAGAAAGAGAAGGGAGAAAAGAUGAGAAUCACAAAGAAGGGGGAGAGCAGCGGGAAAAAGCGGAGAGGAUGACUCGUGGGACCAAUUUACAAGAGUAAAACAGACUAUUACCACCUAAAUCCUACAUUUUUAUAGCUGAAGUCACGCUGUUAGCCAAGCUCCACAUUUUCUGGAGUUGGCGGAGUGGAGCUGCAGAAAAAUGAAGUUAGUGGAGCAGAGCUAUUUUUUCUGGAGCGGAGCAUACCCAAACAUGCCCUUAGGCCAGAGCUGAUUCCUGCCAAGUAGCUUUUCAGAGAGAAGUGAUUAUUUGUUGAUUCUGUGAAGUGAUUUUCUGAAAUGAACUAAGAGGCUGAAAAAAGUAGCUUCUCCUGAUUCUGUGAAGUGAUUCCCCAUCCUGAUUUGAAGAGUUUGAAGGGUUAGAGAAGUGAUUAUCGGCUGAUUUUGUGAAGUGAUUGUCUGAAAUAAACUAAGAGGCUGGAAGUUGAGUUUCUCCUGAUUAUGUGAAGUGAUUCUCCAUCCUGAUUUGAAGAGUUAGAGAAGUGAUUAUCUGCUGAUUCUGUGAAGUGAUUCUCUGAAAUGAACU